rnacentral:rRNA from 1 species
UACAGAGGGUGCGAGCGUUAAUCGGAAUUACUGGGCGUAAAGCGCGCGUAGGCGGUUUUGCAAGUCGGGUGUGAAAUCCCCAGGCUUAACCUGGGAACUGCAUUCGAGACUGCAUUACUAGAGUAUGGGAGAGGGAAGUGGAAUUUCCGGUGUAGCGGUGAAAUGCGUAGAUAUCGGAAGGAACAUUAGUGGCGAAAGCGACUUCCUGGACCAAUACUGACGCUCAUGUGCGAAAGCGUGGGGAGCAAACAGG